CCUACGGGGGGCAGCAGUCGAGAAUCAUUCACAAUGGGGGAAACCCUGAUGGUGCGACGCCGCGUGGGGGAAUGAAGGUCUUCGGAUUGUAAACCCCUGUCAUGUGGGAGCAAAUUAAAAAGAUAGUACCACAAGAGGAAGAGACGGCUAACUCGUUGCCAGCAGCCGCGGUAAUACAGAGGUCUCAAGCGUUGUUCGGAAUCACUGGGCGUAAAGCGUGCGUAGGCUGUUUCGUAAGUCGUGUGUGAAAGGCGCGGGCUCAACCCGCGGACGGCACAUGAUACUGCGAGACUAGAGUGAUGGAGGGGGAACCGGAAUGCUCGGUGUAGCAGUGAAAUGCGUAGAUAUCGAGAGGAACACUCGUGGCGAAGGCGGGUUCCUGGACAUUAACUGACGCUGAGGCACGAAGGCCAGGGGAGCGAAAGGGAUUAGAUACCCCUGUAGUC
rnacentral:rRNA from 1 species